AGCUCCAAUAGCGUAUAUUAAAGUUGUUGCGGUUAAAAAGCUCGUAGUUGGAUCUCGGCGGGCAGGGGGCGGUUCGUUAUCUGACGCUACUGCCCCAUUGCUCGUGUUUCUGACGGAGGUUUGAGGGUUCUCUUUACCGGGUGUCCUCAGGCGCCGUCAAGUUUACUUUGAAAAAAUUAGAGUGCUCAAAGCAGGCUGAAACGAUUGAAUAUCUGUGCAUGGAAUAAUGGAAUAGGAAGUCGUUUCUAUUUUGUUGGUUUUCGGAAAUGGACUUAAUGAUUAAUAGGGACAGCCAGGGGCAUUAGCAUUCAGACGACAGAGGUGAAAUUCUUGGACCGUCUGAAGACUAACUACUGCGAAAGCAUUUGCCAAGAGUGUUUUCAUUAAUCAAGAACGAAAG
rnacentral:rRNA from 1 species